GUCCUGGUGGACUCUGUUAGAUCUACCAGGAUACAGCAAUAUUAUGGGUGGAUUAAGAGUUGCUGUGAUCGACAGAUUGAGGCCUUGGUGGCUAUAAGUCUCCGGUAACUGAAAGUUACAAAGGGCAAGGCUGCCCACAUGUGUUUAUUUGAAUAUAUAUGAUACACCACUGUUCCUACAUCAGACUUUAAGAAUAAUUGUCCCAAUUCAGUUUCAGUUCUGAGCUUCAAAAGGAGUG
rnacentral:lncRNA from 1 species